CGAGGCCAUCUAACGGCUUGUUGCUAGGUAGCCGGGCUCGUGGGUAGGAGCUGCGUUCACUUCUGCUUCCGCCCUGCAAGCCCGGUAGCUGGUAACAAAUUCGCUGCGUGUAGGCCUC
rnacentral:precursor_RNA from 12 species